rnacentral:lncRNA from 1 species
GGCGAGUGAGAGUAAGGUUAAUAAAGCGGUCCCAUGAUUUGCCAAUAGAUUCUUCUUCUAGUUGUCUAAAAGAAAGAAUCUCACGCCGAAGUUCCACCACUUUGGAGAUUGGAAAAUAUUUAGAAAGAAAACUAUUAUGUAACUCCUUCCAAUCUCCAUGAACACUCCCUACUUUGAGUUUAUACCAAUGUCUAGCUUUUCCUAUUAAAGAGAACGGAAAGAGCUUCCAUUUAAGGGUCUCAUCGGACAUGCCUUCAAUGCGAAGGAGGUCACAGACUCAAUAAAACUCUCUUAGGUGUGUGUAUGGGUUUUCCUCACCUUCUCCUAAGAAAGGUUGUUUUUGGACAAAUUCUAUGUAUUCGGGGUCUAUCUCAAAACUAGAUGCUAUGAUAGGCUUUGAAGAUUUUGGUGGUUCGAGAUGUGUGCCCGUAGGUCUAUGGAAUUCAUAGAUAGACAUGUUUGAAUUCAUGAUAGACUAGAGAUCAAGGAUUAGAUAAGAAGAAAGAAUAGUAGAGAUAAGGCAAAGGAUAAAAGGAAAAUAUUUUUUUAUUUUUAUUAUUUUUAGAAAAUGAUUAAGCUAGUUCGUAGUCAACUCAGCAACCGUCUCCCCGGCAACGGCGCCAAAAAUGCUUGUUGACACUUGCUAACACCACUUGAAUACUAGGUUGUCAUCCCCAGCAUGACACUAGAGUGUACUAUGGUAUUUAUACGCACACAGAUAAUCCGCAAGCACACGGAUACCGUUAUAGCUUUUACCCAGUCAAAGGUUUUAUCGUAUCCACAGGGAAACGGGGGAACCAACUACGCUCUAACUUAACCAAGAUAGAUAGAUAAGUGUAAUUAGGAAAGAUAGUAGAAUCGAAUAAGAACAAUAUUAAACAGUGAGUGAUAAUAUGGGAAUAGAGAGUAGAGCAAUCUAAUAUAUGGGCGAUGGUAGCAGAAUAGAGAGGAUAACUAUGGUUUCUCUACUUCAAAGGGAUAUGUGUAUGUCUGGGACAAACCACGUGAUAAUAUUACACCACAAAGGAUGCUUAUCCAUAGGCCGAUAAACCCUACCCGUCCUGCUAACGAGAGGAACCGGACUACAGAGGACCAACGUAACUGUCACCUACGCGGCCUACCACACGAUCCAGCUAGACAGGGGAUAUCCACAAGUAAUCUAGGUCUAAGCACCAUGCUUACACCUAUACUACAACUCUAACCUAUAGGGUCCUAUAGAUUAGAAGUACUCAAAAGAGUUGUGAACCAGAACAUACAUGAUUAGUAAUUGC